rnacentral:rRNA from 1 species
UACGUAGGGUGCAAGCGUUGUCCGGAAUUAUUGGGCGUAAAGAGCUCGUAGGCGGUUUUGUUGCGUCGGCUGUGAAAUCCCCGAGGCUCAACCUCGGGGUCUGCAGUCGAUACGAGCAAAACUAGAGUGUUGCAGGGGGAGACUGGAAUUCCCUGGUGUAGCGGUGAAAUGCGCAGAUAUCAGGAGGAACACCGGUGGCGAAGGCGGGGUCUCUGGGCAACAACUGACGCUGAGGAGCGAAAGCGUGGGGAGCGAACAGG